GUAGAAUCUAGAACAAAGCCUGAGCAAAGAAAUGACGCAAAUACAUCUUUUGGGCAAAAACGCCAAGGAAAUAUGCCAUCGCCCAUCUCUUCAAGGUUUUCUUCUCCUCUAAACCCACCUCACUUCUGCAUUUUUCCUUCAACCGUUAAACUCCUGCCUGAUCUUACCGCCACCGCCACAGCCAAAAAAUCAACCCCCACCAUGUCCUUCUCCUCCUCAUCCUCCUCGUCGCCAUCACCAUCUAUAACCAACCCCAAAAAAGACAAAAAUUCUAACCCAGACCCGCAAAAGCUAACCCAAGUCUUAAAAUACCACAACCAGACCAAACACUCCUUUACCAACUAUGCCAGAGGUCCUCGCGGCCUCGACUGGGCCAACCAACCCAAUCCAUUUCGGCGUUACAUCUCUGCUACACUCCUUUCUCUCCUACAUUUUCCCACUGACAAUCAAACCCCGUCAGCAUCAACUGCUGAUUCCGCUCCUUCAUACCAUUCUGUUUUUAAUUCUCUUCCUCCUCCAAAACCCAUCUCCAAAUCAUCGAUUUCUCAACUGUUUUAUGAUUCUCUCGCUCUCUCUGCUUGGAAAACUGCCGGUUUCUCUACUUGGUCUCUCCGGGUUAACCCGAGUAGCGGCAAUUUACACCCAACAGAAGCGUAUCUUAUUGCCCCACCAAUCGAAUCCCUUUCUAAUUCUGCUUUUGUGGCGCAUUAUGCACCAAAAGAGCAUUCUCUAGAGCUUAGAGCUACAAUCCCAUCUGAUUUUUUUCCGAAAUUCUUUCCUCGAAAUUCGUUUCUAAUCGGAAUUUCAUCAAUUUUCUGGCGUGAGGCGUGGAAAUAUGGAGAGCGUGCGUUUCGCUACUGUAAUCACGAUGUGGGUCAUGCUAUUGCUGCAAUUGCAAUGGCUGCAGCUGCACUUGGAUGGGACGUGAAGUUGCUUGAUGGGCUAGGUCAUAAGGAGUUGGAUAGGUUAAUGGGGCUCGAAACGUAUCAAGGGUUUCAAAUUCCAGACACGCCAAUUAAAGGGAAAAUUCCAGAAAUUGAAUUUGAACAUCCCGAUUGUUUGCUUCUUGUUUUUCCUAACGGGAUCAAUGACUUGGAUGUUAAUUAUAAGGAACUGAGCUCGGCGAUAACGGAAUUUAGAAACUUGGAGUGGAAAGGGAAGCCAAAUUCGCUUAGCAAAGAACACGUUUGCUGGGAUAUAAUUUACAGAACUGCAGAGGCUGUCAAAAAGCCGUUAACAGUGGGAGAUAGGUUCUCGAUUGAUCCAUUUCCGGGUAGUGGCGUUUGUAGUGAACGGUCAUAUAAAGGUUUUACAGUAAGAGAAGUAGUAAGGAAGAGGAGAAGCGCAGUGGAUAUGGACGGAGUUACUAAAAUAAGUAGGGAAACAUUUUAUCAGAUUUUGCUACAUUGUCUUCCUUCGGGUUCUGGAGGUGGCAAAAAUCACAAGAAACAGUUGGCAUUGCCAUUUCGUGUUCUCUCAUGGGAUGCAGAGGUGCAUGCUGCUUUAUUUGUGCAUAGGGUGAUUGGGCUGCCAAAGGGAUUAUAUUUCUUGACGAGAAAUGAAGAUCAUUUCAAUGAACUUAAGAAAGCUACAAGGGAGGCUUUUAAAUGGGAGAAACCAGAGGGGUGUCCAAAUAAUUUACCUUUGUAUGAACUUGCUAGAGGUGAUUGCCAGCAGAUUGCCAAACAGCUUUCCUGCCUUCAGGACAUAGCAAGCGAUGGCUGCUUCAGCCUUGGUAUGGUAGCGCAUUUUGAACCUGCCUUGCGUGGCAAGGGCGUGUGGAUGUAUCCCCGACUGUUUUGGGAGACUGGAGUCCUUGGUCAGGUGUUGUACCUUGAAGCACAUGCAGUUGGAAUUUCUGCCACUGGCAUUGGUUGCUUCUUCGACGAUCCUGGUAUGAUUCUUUUCUUCGCCUCUCUGUCAUAGAAUUUCCUAUGUGGUGGUGAGCAUGCAUUAUCCUAUUACUCAUUCUCUUGGAGUAUUAAUGUUGAACAUAAAUGGUAAUAUUACACGCUAGUUUUAUAGAUGUUUUGUAUAAUCAAAUGAACAUUGCUCAACCAUUGUUCAACAUAUUCUUGAUUCCAAGCCUAAUGAUCUUGCUUGGAAACUAUAUUCACUGAAUAUUGCUGGAGUAUUUGUUGUUAGUUGUGGGGUAGAGUUUAAUGAUACUUUAUAUUAAUGAUUGGUCAAUGUAAAUAAAAUUAAGUCCUCUGGAUUCUACUUGACAGAACAAUCAUGGUAGCUUCUCGAGUUUUUUACCUGUCCUAUAAGUGUAAUAUUGAAAAAUUUUCCUCUUAUUAUUCUUUUGCAGUGCAUGAAGUUCUUGGGUUGAAAGGAUCAAACUUUCAGAGUUUAUAUCAUUUCACUGUUGGAGGCCCAGUAUUGGACAAGCGCAUAAUGAGCUUACCAGCUUAUCCUGGACCUGAUGCUGAUGCCUGAUUUCUCCUGGAGAAGCAUAGCUUAUGUUUGUUGGCCUCUGUAAAUGCAAUUUGACCUGUACAGCUCAUGCUGGAGAGUGGUAAAUAUUACAUCUGAUAGCACAAAGGAUCUUAUGGACUUUUUAUGAUAUGAGAAGGAUUAUCUUUAUUAUACAAAUAUAUGUUUAUUUGUUAUUUCUAUUUUGAAUUUUAGCCCUUUCAAGCAUUUCUAUUGGAGGCAAUGUGCAACAAACCAUUUAAUCCUUGAUGGAGAAAAAAGAAAAUUAAAAAAAUAUAAAAUUUCACAAUCAAAAUCAAC
rnacentral:misc_RNA from 1 species